rnacentral:rRNA from 1 species
UACGUAGGUGGCAAGCGUUGUCCGGAUUUACUGGGCGUAAAGAGCGCGCAGGCGGUCGUUUAAGUCGAAUGUGAAAGCCCCCGGCUCAACUGGGGAGGGUCAUUCGAUACUGAUCGACUUGAAGGCAGGAGAGAGAAGUGGAAUUCCCGGUGUAGUGGUGAAAUGCGUAGAGAUCAUGAGGAAGACCAGUGGCGAAGGCGGGUCUCUGGACAGUUCCUGACACUGAGGCACGAAGGCCAGGGGAGCAAACGGG